GGGCCGGUAGUCUAGGGGUUAUGACGCCAGUCUCACACACUGGAGGUCCCCGGUUCGAAUCCGGGCCGGCCCA
rnacentral:tRNA from 1 species